AGGGGGAGGCUGGAUCCUGGGCUGUGUCCCCUGCACCCUGGGCUCCCAGGCCUGUGCUGUUGGAUUCGCGUUCCGGCCGGCAGCCCCCU
rnacentral:pre_miRNA from 1 species